rnacentral:rRNA from 1 species
GGCCAGACUCCUACGGGAGGCAGCAGUGGGGAAUAUUGCACAAUGGGGGAAACCCUGAUGCAGCAACGCCGCGUGAGUGAGGAAGUAUUUCGGUAUGUAAAGCUCUAUCGGCAGGGAAUAGAAAAGAAGGUACCUGAAAAAGAAGCUCCGACUAACUACGUGCCAGCAGCCGCGGUAAUACGUAGGGAGCAAGCGUUGUCCGGAAUUACUGGGUGUAAAGGGAGCGUAGGCGGGGAUGCAAGUUGGGUGUCAAAACUACCGGCUCAACCGAUAGUCGCACUCAAAACUGCAACUCUUGAGUGAAGUAGAGGCAGGCGGAAUUCCUAGUGUAGCGGUGAAAUGCGUAGAUAUUAGGAGGAACACCAGUGGCGAAGGCGGCCUGCUGGGCUUUUACUGACGCUGAGGCUCGAAAGUGUGGGGAGCAAACAGGAUUAGAUACCCUCGUA